rnacentral:sRNA from 1 species
AUCGCUUCUCAGCCUUUUGGCUAAGAUCAAGUGCAGUCCUACCAUCAGCUUAUUUGAUUUUUCAAAGCAGAGACAUAUGUGCUAAUUAGUGACAUAAAAUCCCAUGAUACUAUGGUCUUAUCAGAAACCCU